rnacentral:rRNA from 1 species
GAAGGGGACUAGCGUUGUUCGGAAUCACUGGGCGUAAAGCGCACGUAGGCGGAUUUGUAAGUCAGGGGUGAAAUCCCGGGGCUCAACCUCGGAACUGCCUUUGAUACUGCGAGUCUUGAGUCCGAUAGAGGUGGGUGGAAUUCCUAGUGUAGAGGUGAAAUUCGCAGAUAUUAGGAAGAACACCGGUGGCGAAGGCGGCCCACUGGAUCGGUACUGACGCUGAGGUGCGAAGGCGUGGGGAGCAAACAGGAUUAGAUACCCUGGUAGUCCACGCCGUAAACGAUGGAUGCUAGCCGUCGGAUAGCUUGCUAUUCGGUGGCGCAGUAACGCAUUAAGCAUCCCGCCUGGGGAGUACGGCCGCAAGGUUA